rnacentral:misc_RNA from 1 species
UUUCCGUAGGUGAACCUGCGGAAGGAUCAUUCACAAUAAGUGUUUUAUGGCAUCUUUUGAUCUAUCAAUAUCCACCUUCUGUGCAACGUUAUUAGCCCCACUAUCCUUAACUUUUAGGUUACGGAAGGGGGAACCUCUACAACUUACCAACAUCACCUUUAACUUAUUUGUCUGAACAUUUUUUAGCACGAAUUAACUAAAUUCGAAUAUACAACUUUCAACAACGGAUCUCUUGGCUCUC